rnacentral:rRNA from 1 species
GGGAGAAAGGGGGCUUCGGCUCCCGCUAUCGGAUGAGCCUAUGUCGGAUUAGCUGGUUGGUGAGGUAAAGGCUCACCAAGGCGACGAUCCGUAGCUGGUCUGAGAGGAUGAUCAGCCACAUCGGGACUGAGACACGGCCCGAACUCCUACGGGAGGCAGCAGUGGGGAAUAUUGGACAAUGGGGGGAACCCUGAUCCAGCCAUGCCGCGUGUGUGAAGAAGGCCCUCGGGUUGUAAAGCACUUUCAGUGAGGAAGAACGCCUGGUGGUUAAUACCCAUCAGGAAAGACAUCACUCACAGAAGAAGCACCGGCUAACUCCGUGCCAGCAGCCGCGGUAAUACGGAGGGUGCGAGCGUUAAUCGGAAUUACUGGGCGUAAAGCGCGCGUAGGUGGCUUGAUAAGCCGGUUGUGAAAGCCCCGGGCUCAACCUGGGAACGGCAUCCGGAACUGUCAAGCUAGAGUGCAGGAGAGGNAAGGUAGAAUUCCCGGUGUAGCGGUGAAAUGCGUAGAGAUCGGGAGGAAUACCAGUGGCGAAGGCGGCCUUCUGGACUGACACUGACACUGAGGUGCGAAAGCGUGGGUAGCAAACAGGAUUAGAUACCCUGGUAGUCCACGCCGUAAACGAUGUCGACCAGCCGUUGGGUGCCUAGCGCACUUUGUGGCGAAGUUAACGCGAUAAGUCGACCGCCUGGGGAGUACGGCCGCAAGGUUAAAACUCAAAUGAAUUGACGGGGGCCCGCACAAGCGGUGGAGCAUGUGGUUUAAUUCGAUGCAACGCGAAGAACCUUACCUACUCUUGACAUCCUGCGAAUUCGGUAGAGAUACCUUAGUGCCUUCGGGAACGCAGAGACAGGUGCUGCAUGGCUGUCGUCAGCUCGUGUUGUGAAAUGUUGGGUUAAGUCCCGUAACGAGCGCAACCCUUGUCCUUAUUUGCCAGCGCGUAAUGGCGGGAACUCUAAGGAGACUGCCGGUGACAAACCGGAGGAAGGUGGGGACGACGUCAAGUCAUCAUGGCCCUUACGAGUAGGGCUACACACGUGCUACAAUGGUCGGUACAAAGGGUUGCCAACUCGCGAGAGUGAGCCAAUCCCGAAAAGCCGAUCUCAGUCCGGAUCGGAGUCUGCAACUCGACUCCGUGAAGUCGGAAUCGCUAGUA